ensembl:snRNA U2 U2 spliceosomal RNA
AUCUUUAUUUAAAUAUUUUCUAAUAAACUUUAAAAAUCUGUUCUUAUCAGUUUAAUAUCUUGUAUGUCCUUUAUUUGAGGACUGUAUAUUAAAUGGAUUUUUGAAAGAGGGGGCUGGAAUAGGAGCUUGCUCUAUCCACCUCACGCAUUGAUCUGGUAUUGCAGUGCCUCCGGGACCGGUGCCUCUCCU